GAUGAACGCUAGCGGCAGGCUUAACACAUGCAAGUCGAGGGGUAUAGGUUUUCGGACCUAGAGACCGGCGCACGGGUGCGUAACGCGUAUGCAAUCUACCUUUCACAGAGGGAUAGCCCAGAGAAAUUUGGAUUAAUACCUCAUAGUAUAGCAGUUUCGCAUGAAACCACUAUUAAAGUUCCAACGGUGAAAGAUGAGCAUGCGUCCCAUUAGCUAGAUGGUAAGGUAACGGCUUACCAUGGCUACGAUGGGUAGGGGUCCUGAGAGGGAGAUCCCCCACACUGGUACUGGGACACGGACCAGACUCCUACGGGAGGCAGCAGUGAGGAAUAUUGGUCAAUGUACGCAAGUCUGAACCAGCCAUGCCGCGUGCAGGAUGACGGUCCUAUGGAUUGUAAACUGCUUUUGUACGAGAAGAAACAACAUUACGUGUAAUGUCUUGACGGUAUCGUAAGAAUAAGGAUCGGCUAACUCCGUGCCAGCCGCCGCCGUAAUAC
rnacentral:rRNA from 1 species